GGACCGCGUUGACUCCCGGUUUCAUUUUAGUGAUCAGCGUUUGCGGUUGCGGUGGCCAAGACUCCGUAACGUGUAUUCAGUUGAAUGUCGAUAAUUUUUUAGCCUCGACUACAUGAUUUAUCUAUUCAUUUGUUGCAACCAUUGUACCUCUCACGAUUUCUUUUUGAGUGGCGGGUGGAAGUGGGCUCUGUAUUUUAAGUCAACCUGCGUACCUGGUCCUCGUCUGAAUACGAAGGAAAAGUGCCUAGUUUUCCCCACUGGUGAAUGCAACAGUAACUGACGCUGAAAUCCUUAAUUGGACGGCCUAAACUUCAAGCCUUGACUGUGAUAACAAGCGGA